UUAACAAAAAUAAAAAAUCUAAAGAUUUCAAAUUAAUACAUGAGUGACAAACACUCCAAAAAAUACCCCAACAACUAUGACAUUCCAUUUUCUCUUUGCUUACCCAACAAUACCCACUACUUUCGAAUCUCCAAUAUUCUUCUUCCAUAGCCCCUCAGUCUCCCACCCUGUCGUAGACCAGAACGGCAGCCACUUCUUUCUCCAGCAUCCCUCUGAUUUCUUCAUUGUACACUGUUACUAUUGCUGUUGAGGCUGCAACCUUUGAGCUCGAUGCCGAUCUGCUCACUUCUCCUCUCUUCGCUGCUGCUGUGCUCUCUACUCUGUACUCCCUCUCUAACCUUACCUUUUGCUUUCUCUACGCACACCGCCGCUAUUCUAUCCACUAGCAGGCUCCGCCGCCGCCUGCAAACUCUGCUACCAGCACUGCAACGAACGUCUCCUUCCUUCAGAAAAUUAGGUAUGCGUUCUCCUUCUUUAUCUUCUAUUUGUUGUCAUUUCUCAAUUUGGAACCUAAAUUUGUGUCUCUUGUUUGAUUUUAUCUAAAUAUUUUUUCCUCUUGCUCUGUGAAUUGAAUUUAUUUAUUUUUAAACUAUGGUAUUUUGUAUGAUUGUUUUGUGUCAUUUUCUCGAAUGAUAGAGCUUUGGCACUAGAAUUUGCUUAAUAAAAUGGACAUUGAUGACGUAUUUUUUCUUCUACUUUUCUGUGCAUCUCUUGAUUUUUGAUUAAUUGAUUAUUGAAUAUUGAUGACUUGAUUAGUUAAGAAUAUGGAUUAGUUCAAUUUUUAAAUUUCUUUGUUCAUCUAUCUUUUUUAUUAGGUUGGUUCUGGGUUGCCUCUUUAUGAGAUGAAAAUACAGUGUGAUUAAACUUUAUUCAAUUUAGUUAGAGCUUUUUAAUAUUUGUGAUGUGUUCUUCCCAAAUAGAGGCUUAAUUUGCUUGUGUAUGAUUAAACCUUGCUGCUUUAUAAAAGAAUGAACUAGUUAACAUUUUAGGGACUUAAUUUGCUUGUCAUUUGAAUUUAAUUAAAGACAAAUGGAAGAAUGAAGGCCUUAGUUUGCUUCUGUUUUGCUUACCAUUUAGGUUCACUAAUCGAUCUUCAUUAAAUACAAUUUAAUAAGUGUCUUGCAUAUGAUUGUUUGCGAUUCUCAAUUUAUCCUUUAUUCACGGAAUGCGACUCUUUUUUGGUUAUGCAAUUGAUGACUGCUUGUUAGACCAACCAUAUUUCUGUCUUUUAUUAUUGUCUAUGUUAAUUUGUUAAUUGAAAUAUAUCAGAUCACACAGAAUGUUAUUAUUCAUUAAAAAAGUUGAGAAGUUCAAGAAACACAAUCUCUGGGAUCACUUUGUCCCAUUUUGGAUUAAAAAAAAUUAAUAAUUUACAAUCAAAAGAUGUCAAGGAAGAAAAUGAGUUAAGCAAAAAGAGAGAAAGAAAUAAAAAGAGAAAGAAAGAAGGAAGAAAGCAAAGUUGAGAUAUGCAUUGAUAUAAAGGGCAUCUAAAAACAUAUUGUGAUGACUAAAAGAUAUCUCUAUAUAUGUAUCAUGUUACUAAAUGCUACAAAGGGAAUGGACAUAUAACAUAAGAUGGAGGAAAAAUAAUGAAGGAUGUUGUGAGGAAAUAUCGAGUGAUUGCUUUGGGAGAUGACAAAAAGCUAUCCACCUGUUGUAAUUUUUGGUCUAUUAAGUAAUAAUGUAGAUCAAAAUGACGAUAGUUGAAAACUUUUAAUGAAUGUUGGAGACCUGUACAUGGAUGUUGCAAAUUAUAUUGUGUAGGAUAUUUGUAUCUCUAUUUGUGGUCUAUUGUAGACAUAGUUAUCAAAUCCGGCUUGACCUGGCCGGUUCGACCGAAAAUUCGGUCACUUCGUUACUUGGUCGGGCCAAGCCACUCGUUGAACUGGUUGUGCAACAGACCCGGUCGAACCCGGUUCGACCAAACGGGUUUUCGUGAAAUCCAAUGACCCGGCCGGUUAAUUUAACCCGAUUCGGGUCGUUCUUAUUUUUUUUUCUUCCUAAUACUUGAAACGGCGUCCUUUCAUAACCCCCCUCCUAACCUUUCCCUUUAGAUGAAACCCUAUGCUUAAAUGCCAAAUCUGAGACUCUUGACUCUGAGAGUCUAAGUAAAACCCCCCUAAUCCAGCCAGUCUCUGUGAUCUCUCCAUCUCUAGCUCGGCAGUCGGAACUCAAUACUCAGUAGUCCCUUUCUCGUCUCUCCCCUCACCUCGACAGUCGUCACUCUCAGUCUCUCACGGCCUCACCUCGUCGCUCUCUCAGUCUCUCACCUCGUCCACUCACCUUGGUCGUCGUCGCGGUCCCGUGCCCCGGUGUUCGCUUCGUUGGCGGCAGAAGCAGACGGAACCGCAUCUGGUCCCUCGGGUAGUGGUGGUGGUCAUCUUCUUGCUUCUCACGGUCUCUGUCUCGCACCUGGUCUCGAUCUCUCCCUUCCCUGCGCUCUUCGUCCCCGGUAAUAGAGGCAACAGGUCCCGGUGGACUGGUCUUCGUUGUCGUCUUCUUGCUUCGAGCCUUGCCGUUAGCUUCUCCCUUGCCAUCAGCUUCUCCUUCGCCGUCAGAUUCCUUUGUGCAACCCGAUUUGUGUUUCUUAUGAAAGAUAUAGAUGCAAAUCAAAAUGAGAAAAAUGUUGAUCAAGCUCCAAAUUUAUCCUAUGAAGAUAUAAAUUUCGAUUUUAAGAUCACUUGGACUUGAUUAUCAAUUAUGUUAUCUUUUGCUUGUUCUUGUUUAUUUAAAUAGAAAAAAUAUUUUGUAUUAAAAAUUAAUUUAUUAUCUUUUUUUGCAUCAUUAGUUGUCUAAAAAUUAACAUUUGAUUAUUAUUAUAUUUGUAAAGACUUACAUUUUAAGUUUUAGUAUGUAAUUUUAAUUUUAUUUAUAUAAUUUAUAUUUUUUAAAUUAUGACCGGAUCAACCGGAUAAACCAGUGACCCACCAGUUGAUUCAGUAAUCGGGUCACCUGGUCAUUUGGUUCUGAUAACUAUGAUUAAUAUUAUAUUAAAGUGUGUUUAUGUAUCGAUUAGGAUAUACUAGAAUUAAUUAAGAUCAAUUAGGACUCAUCAUGUUCUUCUUUAUUAUAUAUUAUAAUUAUGAGUAAUAAUUAAUUAGUGUAUAUAAAUCUAAAAAUUGAGGAGUUCAUUAACCUUUUUCACAUUAUAAUCACCGUCUAAAAGUGGUAUCAGAGGCAAAGCAUAGGUUUUGUCAGUUUUUUCAAAAAGCAUUCUGUCAGUUUUUCUAGCCACUAAUUAAGAUGACUUAAAAACUCUUAACCUAAAUUAAAAUUUAAUAAAAAAAAAAAAUCUGACAUCGUAUACCAUAGAUAAAAAUAUCAUAAAUAAACCAAUAUCAAAGAUAGAAUAAAAUAAACCAGUAUCAUAAACCAAUACCAUAGAUAAAAAUAUCAUAAAUAAACCAAUAUCAAAGAUAGAAUAAAAUAAACCAGUAUCAUAAACCAAUACCAUAGAUAAAAAUAUCAUAAAUAAACCAAUAUCAUAAAUAAACCAUUUGAAAAGAGAAACAAGGAUAGAAUAAAAUAAGAACCCCACUUG